rnacentral:lncRNA from 1 species
GUGUGUGUGUGUGUGUCCGUGUUUGACAUGUCUUCUGUUUUUUUGUUUCCACUAAAAAAUUAUAGAAAUACUUAAACAGGUUUUCAGUGUUGGUUCAAAUACUAAUUCCUCAACUAUGUUAUAAUGGGAAAGAACGAAACGUAAUAGAAAUACCUCACAUAACACUAACAAAUUAUCUUACUCUGACUGAAAACCAAAAAUGUGUGUGUGUGUGUGUCCGUGUUUGACAUGUCUUCUGUUUUUUUGUUUCCACUAAAAAAUUAUAGAAAUACUUAAACAGGUUUUCAGUGUUGGUUCAAAUACUAAUUCUUCAACUAUGUUAUAAUGGGAAAGAACGAAACGUAAUAGAAAUACCUCACAUAACACUAACAAAUUAUCUUACUCUGACUCUCUUCUGUUUAGAC